rnacentral:rRNA from 1 species
GUAGGUGGCAAGCGUUGUCCGGAAUUAUUGGGCGUAAAGCGCGCGCAGGCGGUUCUUUAAGUCUGAUGUGAAAGCCCACGGCUCAACCGUGGAGGGUCAUUGGAAACUGGGGAACUUGAGUACAGAAGAGGAAAGCGGAAUUCCACGUGUAGCGGUGAAAUGCGUAGAGAUGUGGAGGAACACCAGUGGCGAAGGCGGCUUUCUGGUCUGUAACUGACGCUGAGGCGCGAAAGCGUGGGGAGCAAACAGGAUUAGAUACCCUGGUAGUCCACGCCGUAAACGAUGAGUGCUAAGUGUUAGGGGGUUUCCCGCCCCCCUUAGUGCUGCAGCUAACGCAUUAAGCACUCCGCCUGGGGAGUACGGCCGCAAGGCUG